UGAAGAUAUUUAGGGGCACACGGUGGAUGCCUUGGCAUGGGAAGCCGACGAAGGACGUGGCAAGCUGCGAAAAGCUGCGGAGAGGCGCAAACAGCCUUUGACCCGCAGAUGUCCGAUACGGGGAAACCUGACCUGGGUUAUGCCAGGUCGGCCCAUCCUGAAUCAAAUAGGGAUGGAUGCAGGUAACCCGGGGAACUGAAACAUCUCAGUACCCGGAGGAAGAGAAAUCAACCGAGAUUGCGCGAGUAGUGGCGAGCGAAAGCGCACAAAAGCCCAAACCGCAUGUGAGCGUUAUACCCUCGGGGGGAUGCCACAGCGGGGUUGUUGGGCAUAUGAGUCUUAAAGCCCGAGUCUUUAAGCGGAGUAUGUGUCAUCGUUAUAGCAAAACGGCAUGGGAAGGCCGGCCAAAGAGGGUGAAAGCCCCGUAUGCGAAAUAGCGAUACACGCCGAGUCAUAUGACCCAGAGUAUCGCCGGGCACGUGAAACCCGGCGAGAAGCAGGGGGGACCACCCUCCAAGGCUCAAUACUCUCCCAUGACCGAUAGCGAAUUAGUACCGUGAGGGAAAGGUGAAAAGCACCCCGAGAGGGGAGUGAAAUAGUACCUGAAACCGUGUGCCCACAAGCAGUCGGAGCAGAGCAUUUUGCUCUGUGACGGCGUGCCUUUUGUAGAAUGAGCCAGCGAGUUGCCGUAAUGCGGCGAGGUUAAGCUUUAUAAGCGAGCCGCAGCGAAAGCGAGUCUUUAAACGGGCGCUUUUAGUCGUAUAUGGCAGACGCGAAGCCGGGUGAGCUAUCCAUGGGCAGGCUGAAGCGGGGGUAAGACCCCGUGGAGGGCCGAACCCACUUCGGUUGAAAACGGAGGGGAUGACCUGUGGAUAGGGGUGAAAGGCCAAUCAAACCCGGAGAUAUCUCGUUCUCCCCGAAAUAGCUUUAGGGCUAGCCUCGGGCAUUUCCCCGGCGCAGGUAGAGCACCGGAUCCCAAAGGGGGCUUCACCGCCUGCCGAUGGGAGCCGAACUCCGAAUGGUGUCGGGAUAAAAAGCCCGGGAGUCAGAGCGUGUGGGCUAAGCCGCACGCUCAAAAGGGAAACAGCCCAGACCGCCCGCUAAGGCCCCCAAGUCCAUGCUCAGUGGCAAAGGAUGUGCGCCUGCCUAGACAACCAGGAUGUUGGCUUAGAAGCAGCCAUGCAUUUAAAGAGUGCGUAACAGCUCACUGGUCAAGUGGACAUGCGCCGACAAUUCACGGGGCUCAAGCAUGGCGCCGAAGCGGCGGGCUUAAAGAGGUUUUCUUUAAGCGGUAGGGGAGCGUUGCCAACAGCGAUGAAGCGCAAGGGCGAUCUUGCGUGGAGUGUUGGCAAGUGAGAAUGCUGGCAUGAGUAGCGACAAGCGGCGUGAGAAACGCCGCCGCCGUAAGCCUAAGGUUUCCUGGGGAAGGCUAAUCCCCCCAGGGUCAGUCGGGAGCUAAGGUGAGGCAGACAUGCGCAACCGAUGCACGACAGGUCGAUAUUCCUGUACCAUCUCGUGUCGUUUUAUCCAAUGAGGCGACGGAGGAGGAUAGGCGGGCGGGGUUCUGGACGUCCCCGUGAAAGCGUGUAGGGUGUUCUGGCAGGCAAAUCCGCGAGAACAUAUGCCUGAGACGCGAGACGAAGCCAUUUUGGCAAAGCCGCCAAGUCCAUGCUCCCAAGAAAAACCCCUAGGGAGACACGAGGUGCCCGUACCAAAACCGACACAGGUAGGCGGGUAGAGCAUACCGAGGCGAUCGGGAGAACCAUGGUUAAGGAACUCGGCAUACUAGCCCCGUAACUUCGGGAGAAGGGGCGCCUUUCCUCGUGAAGCUUUUCACAAGUCCAAGCGAGGGGAGGCCGCAGUGAAGAGGCCCAAGCGACUGUUUACCAAAAACACAGGACUCUGCCAAGCCGCAAGGCGAAGUAUAGGGUCUGACGCCUGCCCGGUGCCGGAAGGUCACGCGGAUGCGUUAGGGUGUAUACCCGAAGCGCUGAAGCUAAGCCCCGGUAAACGGCGGCCGUAACUAUAACGGUCCUAAGGUAGCGAAAUUCCUUGUCGGGUAAGUUCCGACCUGCACGAAUGGCGUAACGACUUGGGCGCUGUCUCAACCAUGGACCCGGUGAAAUUGCAUUAUUCGUGAAGAUGCGAAUUACCCGCGGAAGGACGGAAAGACCCCGUGAACCUUUACUGCAGCUUGGCAUUGGGCGCAGGCGCGGUGCGUAGAGGAUAGGCAGGAGGCUAUGAAACCUAGGCGCAAGCCUGGGUGGAGCUGACCUUGGAAUACUGCCCUCAUCGCGCCGGCGUCCUAACGCAGGCCCCUUUAACGGGUCGUGCGGACCGUGUCAGGUAGGCAGUUUGACUGGGGCGGUCACCUCCUAAAGAGUAACGGAGGUGCGCGUAAGGUCCGCUCAGGAUGGUUGGCAAUCAUCCUUUUGAGUGCAAGAGCAUAAGCGGGCUUGACUGCGAGGCCUACAAGCCGAGCAGGUGGGAAACCAGGUUCUAGUGAUCCGGCGGCACAGCGUGGAAUGGCCGUCGCUCAACGGAUAAAAGGUACUCCGGGGAUAACAGGCUGAUCUUGCCCAAGAGUCCACAUCGACGGCAAGGUUUGGCACCUCGAUGUCGGCUCAUCGCAUCCUGGGGCUGGAGUCGGUCCCAAGGGUAUGGCUGUUCGCCAUUUAAAGCGGUACGCGAGCUGGGUUCAGAACGUCGUGAGACAGUUCGGUCCCUAUCCUCCGCGGGCGCAAGAGGAUUGAGGAGAUCUGCCCCUAGUACGAGAGGACCGGGGUGGACGGACCUCCGGUGCAGCGGUUGUCGACCAACGGCACUGCCGCGUAGCCGCGUCCGGAACGGAUAACCGCUGAAAGCAUCUAAGCGGGAAGCCGUCUCCAAGAUGAGUCCUCUUUUUGGUAAGGGCACUGGUAGACUACCAGUUUGAUAGGCUGCAGCUGUACGCACAGCAAUGUGUUUUUAGGCAAGCGGUACUAAUAGCCCGAGCUCUUCAUCAU
rnacentral:rRNA from 1 species